GGGAAACAGGAUGAGGGGCCCAGCCCCAGGGCCCCAGACAAAACUUGGGGCA
rfam:Sarcophilus harrisii ctg7180002458328, whole genome shotgun sequence.